AUUGAACGCUGGCGGCGUGCUUAACACAUGCAAGUCGAACGGUGACGCUGGAGCUUGCUCCAGCUGAUCAGUGGCGAACGGGUGAGUAACACGUGAGCAACCUGCCCUUGACUCUGGGAUAACCCCGGGAAACCGGAGCUAAUACCGGAUACGAACCGCACAGGCAUCUGCGCGGUUGGAAAGUUUUUCGGUCAAGGAUGGGCUCGCGGCCUAUCAGCUUGUUGGUGGGGUAACGGCCCACCAAGGCGACGACGGGCAGCCGGCCUGAGAGGGCGACCGGCCACACUGGGACUGAGACACGGCCCAGACUCCUACGGGAGGCAGCAGUGGGGAAUAUUGCACAAUGGGCGAAAGCCUGAUGCAGCGACGCCGCGUGAGGGAUGAAGGCCUUCGGGUUGUAAACCUCUUUCAGCAGGGAAGAAGCGAAAGUGACGGUACCUGCAGAAGAAGCACCGGCUAACUACGUGCCAGCCGCCGCAGUAAUAC
rnacentral:rRNA from 1 species